AGAGUUUGAUCCUGGCUCAGGACGAACGCUGGCGGCGUGCUUAACACAUGCAAGUCGAACGAUGAUGCCCAGCUUGCUGGGCGGAUUAGUGGCGAACGGGUGAGUAACACGUGAGUAACCUGCCCUUGACUUCGGGAUAACUCCGGGAAACCGGGGCUAAUACCGGAUAUGAGCCGUCUUCGCAUGGGGGUGGUUGGAAAGUUUUUCGGUCAGGGAUGGGCUCGCGGCCUAUCAGCUUGUUGGUGGGGUGAUGGCCUACCAAGGCGACGACGGGUAGCCGGCCUGAGAGGGCGACCGGCCACACUGGGACUGAGACACGGCCCAGACUCCUACGGGAGGCAGCAGUGGGGAAUAUUGCACAAUGGGCGAAAGCCUGAUGCAGCGACGCCGCGUGAGGGAUGAAGGCCUUCGGGUUGUAAACCUCUUUCAGCAGGGAAGAAGCGCAAGUGACGGUAC
rnacentral:rRNA from 1 species